GAGUUUGAUCGUGGCUCAGAACGAACGCUGGCGGCAGGCCUCAAACAUGCAAGUCUAGGGGUGUAGCAAUACACACCGGCGGACGGGUGCGUAACACGUGGGAAUGUACCUACUGGUUCGGAACAACUGCGGGAAACUGCAGCUAAUACCGAAUGUGUCCUUACGGAGAAAGAUUUAUCGCCAGUAGAUCAGCCCGCGUCCGAUUAGCUAGUUGGUGGGGUAAAGGCUCACCAAGGCGACGAUCGGUAGCUGUUCUGAGAGGAAGAUCAGCCACACUGGGACUGAGACACGGCCCAGACUCCUACGGGAGGCAGCAGUAGGGAAUCUUCCGCAAUGGACGAAAGUCUGACGGAGCAACGCCGCGUGAACGAUGAAGGCCUU
rnacentral:rRNA from 1 species